rnacentral:rRNA from 1 species
GGAUUAGUGGCGAACGGGUGAGUAACACGUGAGUAACCUGCCCCUGACUCUGGGAUAAGCGUUGGAAACGACGUCUAAUACUGGAUAUGACUGCCGGCCGCAUGGUCUGGUGGUGGAAAGAUUUUUUGGUUGGGGAUGGACUCGCGGCCUAUCAGCUUGUUGGUGAGGUAAUGGCUCACCAAGGCGACGACGGGUAGCCGGCCUGAGAGGGUGACCGGCCACACUGGGACUGAGACACGGCCCAGACUCCUACGGGAGGCAGCAGUGGGGAAUAUUGCACAAUGGGCGAAAGCCUGAUGCAGCAACGCCGCGUGAGGGAUGACGGCCUUCGGGUUGUAAACCUCUUUUAGUAGGGAAGAAGCGAAAGUGACGGUACCUGCAGAAAAAGCACCGGCUAACUACGUGCCAGCAGCCGCGGUAAUACGUAGGGUGCAAGCGUUGUCCGGAAUUAUUGGGCGUAAAGAGCUCGUAGGCGGUUUGUCGCGUCUGCUGUGAAAUCCCGAGGCUCAACCUCGGGCUUGCAGUGGGUACGGGCAGACUAGAGUGCGGUAGGGGAGAUUGGAAUUCCUGGUGUAGCGGUGGAAUGCGCAGAUAUCAGGAGGAACACCGAUGGCGAAGGCAGAUCUCUGGGCCGUAACUGACGCUGAGGAGCGAAAGCGUGGGGAGCGAACAGGAUUAGAUACCCUGGUAGUCCACGCCGUAAACGUUGGGCGCUAGAUGUAGGGACCUUUCCAC